rnacentral:rRNA from 1 species
GAUGAACGCUGGCGGCGUGCCUAAUACAUGCAAGUCGAGCGAACGGACGAGAAGCUUGCUUCUCUGAUGUUAGCGGCGGACGGGUGAGUAACACGUGGAUAACCUACCUAUAAGACUGGGAUAACUUCGGGAAACCGGAGCUAAUACCGGAUAAUAUUUUGAACCGCAUGGUUCAAAAGUGAAAGACGGUCUUGCUGUCACUUAUAGAUGGAUCCGCGCUGCAUUAGCUAGUUGGUAAGGUAACGGCUUACCAAGGCAACGAUGCAUAGCCGACCUGAGAGGGUGAUCGGCCACACGGGAACUGGGACACGGUCCAGACUCCUACGGGAGGCAGCAGUAGGGAAUCUGCCGCAAUGGGCGAAAGCCUGACGGAGCAACGCCGCGUGAGUGAUGAAGGUCUUCGGAUCGUAAAACUCUGUUAUUAGGGAAGAACAUAUGUGUAAGUAACUGUGCACAUCUUGACGGUACCUAAUCAGAAAGCCACGGCUAACUACGUG